rnacentral:rRNA from 1 species
AUGGACAUGAUAUACGUCCCAGUUUUUAUCCUCCUGUUCUUGAUUUGCUUCUGCAAAUCUGAUGAUCGCCUAACACCCACAAAACCACUCUACCCCGGCGACACGCUCAUCUCAGACGGUGGCAUCUUUGCUCUUGGCUUCUUCUCCCUGAAGAACUCGAGUGCAAACUCGUACGUCGGCAUAUGGUACAACCAAAUCCCGGAGCGAACAUACGUGUGGGUCGCAAACCGCGACAGCCCAAUCACUAGCAGUUCCUCUGGUAAGUUUGUUGUGACCAACAAUUCUGAUCUUGUCUUGUUAGACUCCAAAGGAAGCACUCUUUGGACAACCUCGAACAACAUCACCUCCGAAGCCGCCGGAACUGCUGCUACACUGCUUGACACCGGGAACUUGGUCAUCCGGUUGUCCAACGGCACAGACAUAUGGCAGAGCUUUCAUUACCCAACUGACACCCUUCUCCCUAACAUGUCUGCACCGUUGAGCAGCAAAAAUAAGCUCUACAGGCCUUUUGUUGCUUGGAGGGGCCCUGAUGACCUGUCCACUGGCGACUACUCCUUGGGCAGUGACUCCAGCUUGGUUCCCCAGGUCUUCAUCUGGAAUGGGACGAGGCCGUACUGGCGCAGAGCUGCGUGGACUGGUGCACUGGUGAACAACGUGUAUCAGAGCAACACUGGCUCCUUCAUGUUCGAAACAGUUGAAAGAAGAGGGGCUGAGUUCUACAUAACAUACACCGUCUCCAAUGGCUCACCAAAUAUGCGCGCGAAGCUGCACUAUACGGGCACGGUGAAGGUCCUUACAUGGAACAGCAAGUCGUCGUCUUGGGAUGUUUUCAUGGAGUACCCCAGUCAUAGCUGUGAUAGCUAUGCUUCGUGCGGCCCAUUCGGCUACUGUGAUGGCACAGAGGCGAUUCCAACGUGCAAGUGCCUUGAUGGUUUUGAGUCUGCUGGCCGUAACUAUUCCCUAGGAUGUCGGAGAAAGAAAGAGUUGAAAUGUGAUGAUACAGAUAGUUUCAUAACUUUGCCUGGCAUGAAAACGCCUGACAAGUUCCUGUACAUCAGGAAUAGAAGCUUCGACCAAUGCGCAGAAGAAUGCAGAAGCAAGUGCUCAUGCAACGCUUACGCGUACGCCAACCUAAGCAGUCUUGGCAGUCUUGACAUGGUUGGAGACAGUUCGAGGUGCUUGGUUUGGAUGGGGGAGCUUGUUGACACAGGGAAGCCUGCUGGUGGUGUUAGUGAAAAUCUUUACCUCCGUAUUUCCAGCUCAUCCGCUAACGAAAAAAAGAUCCUUAUACUGAAGAUUGUACUCCCGGCUGUGGCUUGUCUGUUGGUACUCACAUGCAUAUACCUUGGAUGCAAGUCACAAGGUAAACGCAGAAGGAAAGGUCAGAACACACAUAUGCUAAAGCACUUGAAUGCUUACAAACUUGGGAACGAAGAUACGGAACUUCCAUCUGUAGGCUUUGAAGAAAUUCUCACUGCAACAAACAACUUUUCUGCUUGCAACAUGCUUGGAAAAGGUGGUUUUGGAAAAGUGUACAAAGGAAUAUUGGAAGAUGGCAUGGAAGUUGCUGUCAAAAGGCUUAGUAUGGGUUCUGGGCAAGGGAUUGAGGAGUUCAGGAAUGAAGUAGUUCUGAUUGCCAAAUUGCAGCACCGAAACUUAGUUAGGCUUCUUGGUUACUGCAUUCAUGAAGAUGAGAAGUUACUCAUUUACGAAUACUUACCUAACAGGAGUUUGGAUGCCUUCCUUUUUGAUGCUACAAAAAAAAUUAUGCUUGAUUGGCUGAGCCGGUUCAUGGUCAUUAAAGGGAUAGCGAGAGGGCUUCUUUAUCUCCACCAAGAUUCAAGAUUAACAAUAAUUCAUCGAGAUCUCAAAGCAAGCAACAUCUUGUUGGAUGCACAAAUGAGUCCUAAAAUAUCUGAUUUUGGUAUGGCAAGGAUCUUUGGAGGAAACGAGCAACAAGCAAACACUAACCGGGUUGUUGGGACAUAUGGUUACAUGUCUCCUGAAUAUGGGAUGGAAGGCUACUUUUCUGUCAAGUCUGACACCUACAGCUUUGGGGUUCUGCUGUUGGAGAUUGUAAGCGGGUUAAGGAUUAGCUCACCCCAUCUCACCAUGGGCUUUCCAAACCUUAUAGCAUACGCAUGGAGCUUAUGGGUUGAUGGAAAUGCAAGGGAAUUGGUGGACCGGUCUGUUUUGGAGAGUUGUCCACUUGAUGAAGUUCUACGAUGUGUUCACAUAGGGCUCCUGUGUGUUCAAGACCAUCCAAAUGCUAGGCCACCCAUGUCAUCCAUUGUGUUCAUGUUAGAGAAUGAAACAGCUCUGCUUCCUGCCCCCGAGAAACCUACAUAUUUCACAAUACGGAGCCAUGAAGCUGAAGACUGGAGAAAAUAUAUGGGAAGAUCUGAGAAUAACAUGAGCAUCACGACACUGGAGGGACGUUAA